GCAGGGAAUCUUGCGCAAUGGGCGAAAGCCUGACGCAGCGACACCGCGUGGGGGAAGAAGGCUCGCGGGUUGUAAACCCCUUUUCUGGGGGAAGAAACAAGACGGUACCCCAGGAAUAAGCCUCGGCUAACUACGUGCCAGCAGCCGCGGUAAUACGUAGGAGGCGAGCGUUGUCCGGAUUUACUGGGCGUAAAGGGCGCGUAGGCGGCCGGGUCCGUCGGUGGUUUAAGCUCCAGGCUCAACUUGGAGAGGCCCACCGAUACCACUUGGCUUGAGGUCGGUAGAGGAGCACGGAAUUCCUGGUGUAGUGGUGAAAUGCGUAGAUAUCAGGAGGAACACUCGUGGCGAAAGCGGUGCUCUGGGCCGAUGCUGACGCUGAGGCGCGAAAGCGUGGGGAGCAAACCGG
rnacentral:rRNA from 1 species